rnacentral:rRNA from 1 species
AGAGUUUGAUCCUGGCUCAGAUUGAACGCUGGCGGCAUGCCUUACACAUGCAAGUCGAACGGCAGCGCGGGGCAACCUGGCGGCGAGUGGCGAACGGGUGAGUAAUAUAUCGGAACGUACCCUGGAGUGGGGGAUAACGUAGCGAAAGUUACGCUAAUACCGCAUACGAUCUAAGGAUGAAAGUGGGGGAUCGCAAGACCUCAUGCUCCUGGAGCGGCCGAUAUCUGAUUAGCUAGUUGGCGGGGUAAAAGCCCACCAAGGCAACGAUCAGUAGCUGGUCUGAGAGGGCGACCAGCCACACUGGAACUGAGACACGGUCCAGACUCCUACGGGAGGCAGCAGUGGGGAAUUUUGGACAAUGGGCGCAAGCCUGAUCCAGCAAUGCCGCGUGAGUGAAGAAGGCCUUCGGGUUGUAAAGCUCUUUUGUCAGGGAAG